UCCGGCAGGCAGCUCUCCAGGUGGGGUGCUGGAGUGAAGGUUCCUGUUAGGCAGACUUCAUUAAUGUUACCAAAUAUACCCCAGCACAUUUACUCGUCUACUAUGAAGUAUUAUCAUAAAUAAUUAAAAUUAAACUGCACUUGUCAAAAUAAAUGAACAAAGUAGAGUUACUGAUGUCUUUGCCUUGAUUUGCUUGCCUUGGGUUUGCUUAUUCACUAAUUUGAAGAAAAGAAGAAAGAGAGAGGAGGAAAGAAAGAACAGACGGCGGCCGUGGGAAGGGGAGAGAUGUCGAGAGAAAGGAGAGAGAGGGGAAACCCUCUCGGUCAUCUGCCCUUGGGUUUCCAGUCAUUAGGGCUCUCUGGGAGGCUGGAAUGCAGGCCCUAACGUCAGCUCAUAAUGAAUAUUGAGGUGUGGAUGUGGAAGGAGGAUUUCUUUGUUUACUGAGGAAUGGCCAUGGGAAUGGGGGAGAGGAUUGCCUUUGGGGAUUAAGGAGUGGGCUUUGUUUUUAUGAAGGGCCUUACUUCUUUUCUGAAGUUUUCUGCAGCUAAUUGAUUCAAUUCAGACAUUCCUCCUCCCUACCCAGCCAGCCAAGUCCGUGUAUUUGUGAGAUGUGCACAGCCCCAUUUCCCCAUCUGCUCUGGCCCCUUUCUCCACUGUGACCCUUAAAAAGGGUGUGAACCUUCCCAUCAAGGAGAUCACAGGCUAUGGAGAAAUCAGAGGACAAGACCUUUGUACACAUGUGUGUGUUAUAUAUAGACACAUACAUAACACAUACAUAUAUAUUACUAGAAGUAUAAUUUACAUAUAGAAACACGUCAUAGGUGUACAGUUCUAUGGGUUCUGACCAAUACAUUUACGCCCGUGUAACCAACACUCAAGAUAGCAUUUCCCUCACUCCAGAAACAUCCUUCCUGCCUCUUCCCAGUCAGUCCCCGCCUACUCCUCUUCUGAUGUCUCUUACUGUGGAUUAUUUUGACCUAUCUAGAGUUUCAUAUACAUGGAAUAUACAUCAGGACUUUUUUUUUUUAAGAAUUUAUUUCAAGUCUGGAGGGAGCAUUGUCCUUGGAGGCUUGGCUGAGCCAGUGUCCAGGAGAUUUCGUGUUUAUGGUCGAAUUGGACUUGUGUUAAACACUUUCCCCUCGGAUGGGCCCAGAAUUCAGACCUGUAAUUAGAUAUUUGGGGAGGAGGCUGGUUUGGACUGGUCUUCCACCAGGACGGCCCUGUUCUCACCUGAGUCCUGUUAAUGAGCCGGGGACAGGUGAGCCUCACACAUUCCAACUUGCCUCCCUUCAGAGGCACCCGGGAGCCAAUGGGGAGCUAAUAAUGGAAGGUACUGGCUUUGUGCUAAUUAUAACUUCCUUUUGGCUUCCAUCUGCAUAGGCACUGAGCCCCUUGCUGGUCAGCCUCACCCCCACAUCAGCUUGCAACCCCGUUUCUGUUCCCCCUGUGAAUUAGUGGGUGCUGAAUGGAGCUGCUCUCCUCUGUCUCUGGCCAAACCCCAGUUCUUUGUGUGUUGCAGGAAGGUACAGGGGUGGUAUUUCUCGAGCCUUCUCUGUCUUGUUAGGGGGGAGAUGGACUGCAAGUUGGAAAGGGAUUGGGCACCACAGCAUCCUCUGGGCUAUGCUGGUCUCACACCACCGACUUGGGUUUAUUUUGAAAAGGACCUCUCUCCUCUGUCCUCUGGAGAGUGUGGCUUCAGACCCUUGUCCCCUCCAUCACCCCCAUUCCUGGUGCCUCCCAAGUCUAGCUGUACCCACCCCAUCUCAACAUUCAGCUGCCAUCUUUGCCGUCUCAGGCAUCUUCAGGGUGGUGGCUGUCUUCCUGGCCCUCUUCUGAAAAGCCCAAACAUUUUUUUUUCAUUUUGCCUUUUAUUUCUUUCACCUCAGGCCCAAGGAACAUAAUUUUUUUGAAGUGGAGGCUGUCUCUUAUAGAGGUUUCAUUAAAAAAAAAAGAAAUAUUGACGUCACAUUAACGUCAUUUAAAGAAAAAGCACCUCUCAGCUUGGAGGUUGGGAGAGUUAACAGCUUCCUGUCUGAUUAUCAGUUGGGAUGAAAUCUCUUGCAGGGAACCAGAGAGAGGGGCUUUUCCUUGAAAUGUUCCUCUUUUUAGCUCCUGAAUCCCCUCAGGUCUCCAUUGGGGGUUGUGUGUAAAAAUAUCAUGCCAUCCCUGCCCCUUCAGCUCAUUUUCUCCUGCUUGAAUUAUCCUGAUAAUAAUACAGGUCACCCACUUCUGUAACUAUGUAGACUGGGAUCUUAAAAAUCAGGAGUGGAUUACUGGCCAGUGUGAGGCUUCGCCAGGUCCCCCAAUGUUCUGGACCCAGGCUAAAGAGGGUGGAAAUGCCUCUGGGGUGCCCAGAAGGGCUGCAGAAAUUCCCCAUCACUGGUCAGAGAGAAAGCAGGAGGACUGGCUUGCUUCUGUGGCCUUUACUGCCCCUAGGAGUGACAAUUCCUGAGUGGAGGCACUAGAGUGGAAGGCCCAGGACCAUCCUGGACUGGGUUAAUAAGCCAGCAAUCCAAGUCCCAGAAGGGCAGCAGCUGGGGGCAGGGGAGGGAUGCCCACGCCUGUGAGGUGGGCUAUCUUGGCAUGCUUUGGCUGUUACAACUCAGAGCAUCCUUAACAAGUCACAUCACCUCUCUGAGCUUCUGUUUCCCCAUCUGUGAAACGGGGAUAAUAGUACCCGCACCUCCAGGGGUCAUGUGAGAAUUAAGUAAAAUAUACACAUAAGUGCCUAGCAUACAGUGGGCGCUGAGCAAAUGAUAGCUCUUUCUCCAGGUUGGGGCAGGGGUGCACAGAAAUGCCUGGAUCUGAGGUUCAAACCUCCACCCGCUGGAGACAGGGUGAAAGCGACAAUAAAAGGCUAGAGUGUCAUGGAAGAACUGACCAGCCGCCUUCCUUCCCCAGUGCCUGCCAUGCCCGCUGGGCCCGGAACUGAGAGACGACUCAGGACCCCAAGGUGCACCCUGUGGGGGGGGGAGUCGGAGAGGGUGUAAAGUUCCAAGCUUGGCUGGCUGGGAGGGAGACAUGUAAGUGUCUUUAGCGACUUGAAGGGAGCUGGAUCCGGACUGACUUGCGCUGUAAAGAGGGCGCCGCCAGGAGGCCCAUGUGAGCUCGGGUUCGGGAUUUCUAACAGGCUGCGGGAAAAUAGCCUGGGGUCCCGGCUCGGCAGGUUCCGAGUCUCACGACUCACGAGCAGCGCUGCCGGGGAAGCUAGGGUCGUCCUGGGGAGGUCGCUGGCAGACUCUCCACGAUGCGCUGGGUCCUAGGCGCAUCGGUCCCCACCUCACGGGUGGCUAGAUGCCUGGCCCCUUGGUGGGCAAGGAGCUCCGGGCGCGAUGGAACCCCCCUUAGCCAGUACCCCACCGGGCUUCCCUCCAGCAUCCUGGGCGGGCAAGACCGACGCGGGAGAGCGCCCACCAGCCUCACCGGCUAUGGUCGUGGACGUGGAGGACGCGUGUGCCCCCAUCCCCACCUUCUAGUGGAUAGCGGCACGCAUCUGGGCGGGCGUGGGGGCCCCUGAUGUCUCUCUUCUGUUUUACAGCUACUCCCUUGCAGGCGGCUCCCUCCUCGGUGCUCUCUUCUCGGGCACGAGCUCGCCAUCCGCACCCGUUCGUUCGUAGAAGGGCGUGCCGGAGGAAAGGACACGCUCCAGAGUCAGCAGACAGAAAGGAGAAGCAGGAGCCUGGUGGAGGAGUCUGAAGAUUGUCCUGUGAAGUGCGAUGGGACAGCCUCUUUUCAGCUUCUCUUAAAAUGGAACUGCGGAUCUUGCCAAGGUCACAGGAUUGGAAUACAGAGCCACGCCAGGACACUCGAGAUCAUGAGAAGGGGAAAAGCUGAGCAGGAAGGGAAGAUGCAGUGGCUGCUGUCCUGAGGCCGCAGCAAUCAGGGGCCAGGAUGGAGGAGGAGGACCUAGGCAGAGGGCACCGUGCAGGGUCCACUCCCAGUCCUGCCCAUCUGGGACUUGGCGGGGGAACUGGGGAACAUGGAGGCCUUUGCCUUUGGCCUGUUGGCCACCAUUUCUGCCCUUGUCAUACCUUGUGCCUGUUCUGGGUCCAAGGUGCUCUGGCCAGGUCUCCUGCAAACAGAAGCUCUCCACCAUCCAUAUUUCCACCCCAGAGGACCCAGGGCAGCAUGCUGGGAGGUUGCCAAAGCCAGGGGCUCCAGCCUUCUAGGAGUUAAUGACUCCCUCUCCCCAGCUGUCCUCCCCUUGGUGCUCUUCUUCCUCCCUCCUCCUGCUCACAGCAGGCAGGGCCUGGACCUGGGAGCCAUGCUGCUGUGCUGUUGCCAGGGGAGCCGGGAGGCAGAUCUGAGCUAUGCAGGGAAAAGGCCCGGCCUGUCAAAGUGUCUGAGAUGAACCGCCACCGUCCCCGUGCAGCUGGGCUCAGACGUGUCUCGGCUCUUUUUCUGUGCCUGAGAAUGGCGAAGCCCAGUGAGGUUCAAGGGCAGACUCACUAUUCAUUAGUCAGGGGUUCUUGACGUCCCGUCUCUCCCAGGGAUGGGUCCCCCCUUCCUCUUUCCUUCCUGUGACGCAUUCCUGGGUGCCUUUGGUGAGAACUGCACACCCUCCUCCUCCUCCUCCUGCCCAACCCUCUCUCCAAAGACCCCUAAAUAAAAUCCCCCCAAGGAGACCAGGCAAGGCAGAGACAAUGGCUACAGGAAACCAUUCAGGCGGGACCCCAGCUGUGCUAGCCUGCCCUCCACUCCCAGCACCCCUGUUGGCCCCACUCCCCUCUGACUCAGGGCACCCUGGGUCACCAGCCUGCGCGGACCUAGACAGGAGGAAACUACUGGGCACUGCCCUCAGGGCAACAGACCAGUGCAAUGCCAUUCUUAGUGGGCUCUUCGGAUGCUUCCAUGGCCUGUAUCUCACACAGCUGGCGAUCCUGGUGCCUUUCUCUUACCAUCAUGUGUCUAUUUUCAGACACUCUCAAACACUGUUGGUUGGAGAGUGUAAAUCGUACAAUACUUUUUGAAAUGUGGCAAUAUCAAAAUGUAAAAGGUACAUAUACUUGGUCACAAACAAAUUGCACAGCUAGGAAUUUACUCUGUGGUCAUAUUUGUAAAAGUUCCCAAAGAAGUAUAUACAUAUAUACAAGGAUGUUCAUCAGAACAUUUCUUUUUUUUUCUCUGUGAGGAAGAUUAGCCCUGAGCUAAUAUCCAAUGCCAAUCCUCCCCCCCACUUUUUUUUUUUGCCGAGGAAGAUUGGCCCUGGGCUAACAUCCGUACCCAUCUUCCUUUCCUUUACAUGGGAUGCUGCCACAGCAUGGCUUGACACGCAGUGCAUCAGUGUGUGCCCAGGAUCUGAACCUGUGAACCCCUGGCCGCCGAAGCAGAGCGCGCAUGCUUAAUCGCUAUGCCACCAGUUCAGCCCCAGAGCAUUUCUUUUUAAGAGUGUAAAGAAAUGGAAAGGAACUUAUGGUUCAUCCAUAUUGUAGAAUACUAUGCAGCUGCAAAAAUUAAUGUGGUAGAUCUCUCGAUAUAAGCUGAUAUGGAAGGUUGGCCAGUGUAUAUUGGAUGAAUAGAAUAAACUGUAGAACAGGCAAUAGAGUAUGAUCUGAUUUGUGUGUCAGUCUUAAGGAGGCUUGUAUAUGAAGAGUUUCUGGGAAUAUGUAUUGGAAAGCUACUUCUGGGAGUAGGGAUGGAUGGAUGGACUCUUCUGUGCUCUUAUGUUUUCUUUCCACGCUUGUGGAAUACUUCUACUGAAAAAUUUGAAGAGGCUGUUUAAUAUAAUACGCUUAACUUCUGUUAACCAACUUGGAGUGGGAGUUCUAAGAGGAUGGUGCUGAUGUUGCCGAAAAAUAUCCCAUUGGCCAUUGGCCAUUUUGGGGCCUAAUAAUCACAUAUUAUCAUCAUGGCUGCUAUUGUUAAUUAAAUGCCUACUAAGUGCCAGGCUUAGUCUCUCUGGGUCUAGCUGAGGUGGGUAUCGUUAUUCCAAUUUCACCCAUGCUGAAGAGUAGU